GGGUUGUGAGGUUAAGCGAACAAGCGUACACGGUGGAUGCCCUGGCAGUCAGAGGCGAUGAAGGACGUGCUAAUCUGCGAAAAGCGCCGGUAAGGUGAUAUGAACCGUUAUAACCGGCGAUGUCCGAAUGGGGAAACCCGGUGCACUUCGGUGCAUCAUCGUUAGCUGAAUACAUAGGCUAACGAGGCGAACCGGGGGAACUGAAACAUCUAAGUACCCCGAGGAAAAGAAAUCAACCGAGAUUCCCCCAGUAGCGGCGAGCGAACGGGGAACAGCCCAGAGCCUGAAUCAGCUUGUGUGUCAGUGGAACGGUCUGGAAAGGCCGGCGAUACAGGGUGACAGCCCCGUACACGAAGGCACACAGGCUGUGAGCUCGAUGAGUAGGGCGGGACACGUGAUAUCCUGUCUGAAGAUGGGGGGACCAUCCUCCAAGGCUAAAUACUCCUGACUGACCGAUAGUGAACCAGUACCGUGAGGGAAAGGCGAAAAGAACCCCGGCGAGGGGAGUGAAACAGAACCUGAAACCGUGUACGUACAAGCAGUGGGAGCCUUCGUAAGAGGGUGACUGCGUACCUUUUGUAUAAUGGGUCAGCGACUUAUAUUCUGUAGCAAGGUUAACCGUAUAGGGGAGCCGAAGGGAAACCGAGUCUUAACCGGGCGUUAAGUUGCAGGGUAUAGACCCGAAACCCGGUGAUCUAGCCAUGGGCAGGUUGAAGGUUGGGUAACACUAACUGGAGGACCGAACCGACUAAUGUUGAAAAAUUAGCGGAUGACCUGUGGCUGGGGGUGAAAGGCCAAUCAAACCGGGAGAUAGCUGGUUCUCCCCGAAAGCUAUUUAGGUAGCGCCUCGUGAACUCAUCUCCGGGGGUAGAGCACUGUUUCGGCUAGGGGGCCAUCCCGGCUUACCAACCCGAUGCAAACUGCGAAUACCGGAGAAUGUUAUCACGGGAGACACACGGCGGGUGCUAACGUCCGUCGUGAAGAGGGAAACAACCCAGACCGCCAGCUAAGGUCCCAAAGUCAUGGUUAAGUGGGAAACGAUGUGGGAAGGCCCAGACAGCCAGGAUGUUGGCUUAGAAGCAGCCAUCAUUUAAAGAAAGCGUAAUAGCUCACUGGUCGAGUCGGCCUGCGCGGAAGAUGUAACGGGGCUAAACCAUGCACCGAAGCUGCGGCAGCGACACUCUGUGUUGUUGGGUAGGGGAGCGUUCUGUAAGCCUGUGAAGGUGUGCUGUGAGGCAUGCUGGAGGUAUCAGAAGUGCGAAUGCUGACAUAAGUAACGAUAAAGCGGGUGAAAAGCCCGCUCGCCGGAAGACCAAGGGUUCCUGUCCAACGUUAAUCGGGGCAGGGUGAGUCGACCCCUAAGGCGAGGCCGAAAGGCGUAGUCGAUGGGAAACAGGUUAAUAUUCCUGUACUUGGUGUUACUGCGAAGGGGGGACGGAGAAGGCUAUGUCGGCCGGGCGACGGUUGUCCCGGUUUAAGCGUGUAGGCUGACUUUCCAGGCAAAUCCGGAAAGUUAAGGCUGAGGCGUGAUGACGAGGCACCACGGUGCUGAAGUGACAAAUGCCCUGCUUCCAGGAAAAGCCUCUAAGCAUCAGGUAACAUCAAAUCGUACCCCAAACCGACACAGGUGGUCAGGUAGAGAAUACCAAGGCGCUUGAGAGAACUCGGGUGAAGGAACUAGGCAAAAUGGUGCCGUAACUUCGGGAGAAGGCACGCUGACAUGUAGGUGAAGCCCCUGCGGGUGGAGCUGAAGUCAGUCGAAGAUACCAGCUGGCUGCAACUGUUUAUUAAAAACACAGCACUGUGCAAACACGAAAGUGGACGUAUACGGUGUGACGCCUGCCCGGUGCCGGAAGGUUAAUUGAUGGGGUUAUCGCAAGAGAAGCUCCUGAUCGAAGCCCCGGUAAACGGCGGCCGUAACUAUAACGGUCCUAAGGUAGCGAAAUUCCUUGUCGGGUAAGUUCCGACCUGCACGAAUGGCGUAAUGAUGGCCAGGCUGUCUCCACCCGAGACUCAGUGAAAUUGAACUCGCUGUGAAGAUGCAGUGUACCCGCGGCAAGACGGAAAGACCCCGUGAACCUUUACUACAGCUUGACACUGAACAUUGAGCCUUGAUGUGUAGGAUAGGUGGGAGGCUUUGAAGCGUGGACGCCAGUCUGCGUGGAGCCGACCUUGAAAUACCACCCUUUAAUGUUUGAUGUUCUAACCUGGCGCCGUAAUCCGGCGUGGGGACAGUGUCUGGUGGGUAGUUUGACUGGGGCGGUCUCCUCCCAAAGUGUAACGGAGGAGCACGAAGGUCAGCUAAUCCUGGUCGGACAUCAGGAGGUUAGUGCAAUGGCAUAAGCUGGCUUGACUGCGAGAGUGACGGCUCGAGCAGGUGCGAAAGCAGGUCAUAGUGAUCCGGUGGUUCUGUAUGGAAGGGCCAUCGCUCAACGGAUAAAAGGUACUCCGGGGAUAACAGGCUGAUACCGCCCAAGAGUUCAUAUCGACGGCGGUGUUUGGCACCUCGAUGUCGGCUCAUCACAUCCUGGGGCUGAAGUAGGUCCCAAGGGUAUGGCUGUUCGCCAUUUAAAGUGGUACGCGAGCUGGGUUUAGAACGUCGUGAGACAGUUCGGUCCCUAUCUGCCGUGGGCGCUGGAGAAUUGAGGGGGGCUGCUCCCAGUACGAGAGGACCGGAGUGGACGCAUCACUGGUGUUCGGGUUGUCAUGCCAAUGGCACUGCCCGGUAGCUAAAUGCGGAAGAGAUAAGUGCUGAAAGCAUCUAAGCACGAAACUUGCCCCGAGAUGAGUUCUCCCUGAGACUAUAAGUCUCCUGAAGGAACGUUGAAGACGACGACGUUGAUAGGCCGGGUGUGUAAGCGCAGCGAUGCGUUGAGCUAACCGGUACUAAUGAACCGUGAGGCUUAACCUUACAACGCCAAAGAAGU
rnacentral:rRNA from 1 species